rnacentral:rRNA from 1 species
UCCUACGGGAGGCAGCAGUGGGGAAUCUUGGACAAUGGGCGCAAGCCUGAUCCAGCCAUGCCGCGUGGAUGAUGAAGGCCUUAGGGUUGUAAAAUCCUUUCAACGGGGACGAUAAUGACGGUACCCGUAGAAGAAGCCCCGGCUAACUUCGUGCCAGCAGCCGCGGUAAU